rnacentral:rRNA from 1 species
UACGAGUGCCCCGAGCGUUAUCCGGAAUUAUUGGGCGUAAAGCGCACGUAGGCGGCAUUGCAAGUCGGAUGUGAAAUCUUAUGGCUUAACCAUAAAAGUGCAUCCGAAACUGCAGUGCUUGAGUACUUAAGAGGAUCGCGGAAUUCCCGGUGUAGAGGUGAAAUUCGUAGAUAUCGGGAGGAACACCAGUGGCGAAGGCGGCUCUCUGGACAGGUACUGACGCUGAGACGCGAAAGCGUGGGGAGCAAACAGG